CAACAGGAUUUUCUAAAAUCCACCCCGCAUUCGAAGAUAUCGACAU
rfam:Thalassiosira oceanica strain CCMP1005 To_g18987, whole genome shotgun sequence.